CUGGCUCAGGACGAACGCUGGCGGCGUGCCUAAUACAUGCAAGUCGAGCGAACAGAGAAGGAGCUUGCUCCUUCGACGUUAGCGGCGGACGGGUGAGUAACACGUGGGCAACCUACCUUAUAGUUUGGG
rnacentral:rRNA from 1 species